GGCCUAACACAUGCAAGUCGAGCGGAAACGACACUAACAAUCCUUCGGGUGCGUUAAUGGGCGUCGAGCGGCGGACGGGUGAGUAAUGCCUAGGAAAUUGCCUUGAUGUGGGGGAUAACCAUUGGAAACGAUGGCUAAUACCGCAUAAUGCCUACGGGCCAAAGAGGGGGACCUUCGGGCCUCUCGCGUCAAGAUAUGCCUAGGUGGGAUUAGCUAGUUGGUGAGGUAAUGGCUCACCAAGGCGACGAUCCCUAGCUGGUCUGAGAGGAUGAUCAGCCACACUGGAACUGAGACACGGUCCAGACUCCUACGGGAGGCAGCAGUGGGGAAUAUUGCACAAUGGGCGAAAGCCUGAUGCAGCCAUGCCGCGUGUAUGAAGAAGGCCUUCGGGUUGUAAAGUACUUUCAGUUGUGAGGAAGGGGGUAGCGUUAAUAGCGCUAUCUCUUGACGUUAGCAACAGAAGAAGCACCGGCUAACUCCGUGCCAGCAGCCGCGGUAAUACGGAGGGUGCGAGCGUUAAUCGGAAUUACUGGGCGUAAAGCGCAUGCAGGUGGUUCAUUAAGUCAGAUGUGAAAGCCCGGGGCUCAACCUCGGAACUGCAUUUGAAACUGGUGAACUAGAGUACUGUAGAGGGGGGUAGAAUUUCAGGUGUAGCGGUGAAAUGCGUAGAGAUCUGAAGGAAUACCAGUGGCGAAGGCGGCCCCCUGGACAGAUACUGACACUCAGAUGCGAAAGCGUGGGGAGCAAACAGGAUUAGA
rnacentral:rRNA from 2 species